UUUGUCAUAUUAUACUAGAUCGCAGAUGAGAUGGGUUAGCAGGCAGAGUGCAAACGAGUUGAUCAGGGAUGCAUGAUCUAUGGAAUUUAUCCCAUGGCUGUCAUCACCAUGUGUUUUGUGUUAGUCCCACCAGCAGAGGUGCUAACCCAACAAAUUAAGGAGUAAAAAAUGUGGAUCAUUCAAAAUUGAACAGUCUCAACGUUGGCAUUUAUGAAGCAAACCUGGGCUGUAAUUGCGUGAUAUUUCAUGGAGCAGUUGAUCAGAAUGAUCAGAAAUUGGAUUCAAAAGGAUUCAAUGGCAUGGACACAAAUGAUUCAGAAAUGAUAAUUCAGACGAACGGAUUAGGAAAUGCUUUUAAAUGUGGGGUGCAUAAUUACAGAUUCCAUGAGAAUAACGAUGUGGUAUCCGUAUGGGCUAUAUCCUUUAUUGUAUCCACUUUUAACAAAAUCUCAACUUUUCAUUUCUAUGUUUCCCAAUUUCUUUCAGCACUUUGAUGCAAACUAGGAUUUCAUUCUAUCAUCGUGAAUUUCUGAAGGACCCCUUUCAAGCUACAGUGCUGCUACUUUAGCGAUUUUUCUGCACCAGCAGUUCCACCUUUUAUUAACAGAGAUUGAUUUUCUUCAUCUUUGGCAUGUGGCCUUCCAGAGUGUAUCCUCUGCAUCAUCGCCCAGGAGCAUGUGAAAUAUCAACAGCACAAAAUGUGAAGACUUCAACUUGCAAGGUAUCGGAAAUAACAGCUUCUGGAUCAUCAGAUGAAAAAACUCUGUGAAGAAAUUUCUAUACUCUGUGAAGCCAACAUGGUCCUGUUAGCUACAGGAAUAUAAGCGCCUUCUUUAAAAGACUUUAGUCUCAAUCAAGACUGUAGGUAUAGAUAGGUCCCAAUCCUGCACAGACUUGUGCGCGCUGCUGAAUUUUACCUACUGAUUCCCAAGAGACCACCUCGCAGAUGUCAAACACGAGUCCCUUUCCUAAGCCAGACAGAGUUGCCGUACUGCUAGUUUACUCAGCAUGAAUAAGAAAGGGAGAAGAUUUGUGUUACCUCUUGCAUGCUUCUGCACUGGUGUGAUAAAAAUAAGCAUCCCCAUUUCCUGGGUGAGGGACAGUAGAGGAGAGUCUUUAAAAUUUCCUGACUGGUCUAGCCCCUAUAAAUAUUUUAAUGCCCUCCUAACAUACACGUCUCUCCUGUUUGAUUUCUAUGGCUUAAGGGCAUAAGAUUUCCAGUCUUACUUCAAAAUUGGAGUGAAAAUGUAAUAUCCUUUUAAGAUAAAAUGAAGAAUCUAAAGCACUGUAUGUUUUGUAAAGCUCAGGAAAGGUUCAUUAAGUAACUAAUGCUGGUAGUUCUGCAGUCAUUUGAAGGGUAUAAACACUAAAAAGAAGAAUUGCAGAUGGUGCAAAGCGUUCAGCUAGGGGUGACAGAAUUAUAUUGGCCAAAGGAAAAUGUGGGCUGAGCUAGAGAAAAAACUAAAAGCAUUUGCUGCAUGCUGUAAUCCUGAUAUUGACAGGGAAAGGCCUAGCUGACCAAUAGGUUUUUCCAUAUCUAAUUUUUAUGAUUUCCUACUUAAAAUUGUAACAUUACUGCUUUCAAAGGCUCUAAAGGACAUUCUUGUAAGACUCUGACGAUAGAUCUCCACAUGGAGUAGUUAUGUUUUCUGGGAUUUUACCAUAUAGGUUAACUUUCUGGAUAUCUUUCCAAAACGUUAAGCCACAAGACAAUAACCAAAGUAUUCUUUGUCAUGGUACACUAGACCAAUUGAAGCCAGUGAAUCUGCUCAUGUGAGUAUGACUCUCUUGGUAUAUCAAAAGCUGGAACUGCUGAAAAGUAUGCCCUGCAUAUGGAAAGUUUUAAAUCACUAUGAAAUCAGGUGGACAAGUGGGGUCAUAGAACUAUAGGGUGGAAGGGACCUUGAAAGGUCAGCUAGUCCAGCCCCCUGCAUUAAAACAGGACUGAGUAAUAAUAGGCUAUCCCCGAGAGGAGUUUGUCCAAUCUGUUGUUAAAAACUUCCGAUGACGGGGAUUCCACAGCCACUAUUGGAAGCCUAUUCCAGAAUUUAACUAUCCUUAUAGUUGGUUUUCCUAACCUAAAUCUUCCUUGCUGCAGAUUAAGCCCAUCACUUCUUGUCCUACCUUCAGCAGACAUGGAGAACAACUAAUCACCACCCUCUUUAUAACUGCCCUUAACAUAUUUGAAGACUGUUACCAGGUCCCUCCUGAGUCUUCUUUUUUCAUAACUAAACACGCCCAGGUUUUUUUUAACCUUCCCUCAUAGGUCAGGUUUUCUAAACCUUUUAUCCUUUUCCUUGCUCUUCUCUGGACUCUCUCCAAUUUGUCCACAUCGCUCCUAAAGCGUGGGACUAUACUUCAGCUGAGGCCUCAUUAAUAUACAGCAGAAGAUCUACAGAUCAUCUUGCAAAAAACGUGCCCUUGAUAUAGCAGGCUGGAAGCCAUCCAGACUGCAAUGACUGCUGAAGUUGCUUAUCAUCUCCUAGCUCCAAACUUUAGUGCAGGGGAUAUGGAAGAUGGCAUAGCCUUCAUCCCUUUCAAUUCCUUUCCAACCCCUGAGAGCAUGAAAAGAACUCCAAAGUGCUGGGAUGAGAGAAUGUGGCUUUCUUGAGGCAACAUACUCCAGUUAUAGGUUAAAAACUUUUCUUCCUUUGGGAAUUAUCUCUGCUGUCUUCCUUUCUUAGGAGAUCAGCUAGCAGAAACCACCCCACAGAGGGCUAAGCAGCAUUAAAUGAAGACAGCAAAUUGCUCUCCUGAACUGGGCAUCCAGUCUGCCUUCUGCAUCGUGCAGAGUAAUACUAGUAGUUUAACUGGUGGCCCAGUACCCUUUCUUUUUGUAUUAUCAGAGAGAGCAAAUAGGAGCACGUAGCUUAGCUUCUCUAUGGGCAGGUCUUCACUACCCACCAGAUCGGUGGAUAGUGAUAGAUCUAUCGGGGAUCGAUUUAUCAUGUCUCAUGUAGACAUGGAUAAAUCGAUCCCCGAACACGCUCCCCGUCGACUCUGGAACUCCAGUUCGCGAGAGGCGGAAGCGGAGUCGACGUGGGAGCGGCAGCGGUCGACUCGCCGCCGUCCUCACGGCCAGGUAAGUCGACCUAAGAUACGUUGACUUCAGCUACGCUAAUUGCAUAGCUGAAGCUGCGUAUCUUAGGUUGACCCUCCCACCCCAGUGUAGACUAGGACUAUGCCAUUCUUUCUUUAUCACUUCUAUCAUGGCUCUUUCCUACUCCCCUCAAAACUAAGCAUACUAAUUGUUUUAGGUCUGUCCUCACAUGGAAGGUUCUGUGUACCUCAAAGUGUUUUCAUUGCCUUUCACUGAACCCUUUCCAUUUUUUCGCAUAUUCUGUAUAUUUUGUGGCACCUUCAGAGUGGGGUUAUAAUACGUUCACAGUCAUUCUCUAUCACUUUCUUGUGCCCAUGAAACAUUGUGUUUGCUUGCUUGCCCCAUACUGUGCAGUUAUAGAAAGGUUGAUAUCUUUUUAAGGUGUGCGUGUGUCUCACUAAUAAAUAUAUUUCUGUGUUAUGGUA